UACGUAGGUGGCGAGCGUUGUCCGGAUUUACUGGGCGUAAAGGGAGCGUAGGCGGUUUAUUAAGUCUGGUGUAAAAGGCAGUGGCUCAACCAUUGUAUGCAUUGGAAACUGGUAGACUUGAGUGCAGGAGAGGAGAGUGGAAUUCCAUGUGUAGCGGUGAAAUGCGUAGAUAUCACGCAGAACUCCGAUUGCGAAGGCAGCGUACCGGCAUCCAACUGACGCUGAGGCACGAAAGCGUGGGGAUCAAACAGG
rnacentral:rRNA from 1 species